AUGAACGCUGGCGGCGUGCCUAAUACAUGCAAGUCGAGCGAACAGACGAGGUGCUUGCUCCUCUGACGUUAGCGGCGGACGGGUGAGUAACACGUGGAUAACCUACCUAUAAGACUGGGAUAACUUCGGGAAACCGGAGCUAAUACCGGAUAAUAUAUUGAACCGCAUGGUUCAAUAGUGAAAGACGGUUUUGCUGUCACUUAUAGAUGGAUCCGCGCCGCAUUAGCUAGUUGGUAAGGUAACGGCUUACCAAGGCAACGAUGCGUAGCCGACCUGAGAGGGUGAUCGGCCACACUGGAACUGAGACACGGUCCAGACUCCUACGGGAGGCAGCAGUAGGGAAUCUUCCGCAAUGGGCGAAAGCUUGACGGAGCAACGCCGCGUGAGUGAUGAAGGUCUUCGGAUCGUAAAACUCUGUUAUUAGGGAAGAACAAAUGUGUAAGUAACUAUGCACGUCUUGACGGUACCUAAUCAGAAAGCCACGGCUAACUACGUG
rnacentral:rRNA from 1 species